rnacentral:rRNA from 1 species
UGAGUAAUGCAUAGAUAAUGUGCCCCUUAGUUCGGGAUAGCCACUGGAAACGGUGAUUAAUACCGGAUACUCCUUCUUGUUAUAAGACAAGUCGGGAAAGUUUUUCGCUAAGGGAUCAGUCUAUGUUCCAUCAGCUUGUUGGUGAGGUAAUGGCUCACCAAGGCUAUGACGGAUAUCUGGUUUGAGAGGAUGAUCAGACACACUGGAACUGAGACACGGUCCAGACUCCUACGGGAGGCAGCAGUGAGGAAUAUUGCACAAUGGAGGAAACUCUGAUGCAGCAACGCCGCGUGGAGGAUGACGCAUUUCGGUGUGUAAACUCCUUUUAUUAGGGAAGAUAAUGACGGUACCUAAUGAAUAAGCACCGGCUAACUCCGUGCCAGCAGCCGCGGUAAUACGGAGGGUGCAAGCGUUACUCGGAAUCACUGGGCGUAAAGGGUGCGUAGGCUGGCUUUUAAGUCAGAUGUGAAAUCCAAUGGCUCAACCAUUGAACUGCAUUUGAAACUGAAAGCCUAGAGUUCAGAAGGGGCAGAUGGAAUUAGUGGUGUAGGGGUAAAAUCCGUAGAUAUCACUAGGAAUAUCAAAAGCGAAGGCGAUCUGCUGGGAUGAUACUGACGCU